rnacentral:tRNA from 1 species
UCCCUGGAGGACUAGUGGUUAGGUAACAGCGCUCUCACUGCUGCAGCUCGGGUUCGAUUCCCGGCCAGAGAA